rnacentral:rRNA from 1 species
AACAGCUAGCUCACCUAUCUUUAUUAAUACCAAACAAUUCAUAAAUUUUACUUAACCUAAACACCUACAACUAAAACAUUUUCCUGCCUUAGUAUGGGCGACAGAAAAGGCAUUAGAAGCAAUAGAAACAGUACCGCAAGGGAAAGCUGAAAGAGAAAUGAAACAACCCAUUUAAGCUCAAAAAAGCAGAGACAUAACCUCGUACCUUUUGCAUCAUGAUUUAGCUAGAACUUUUGAGCAAAGAGAAACUUUAGUUCUUAACCCCGAAACCAAGUGAGCUACCCCGAGACAGCCUAUUUUAGGGCCAACCCGUCUCUGUAGCAAAAGAGUGGGAAGAUCUCCGGGUAGCGGUGAUAGACCUAUCGAACUUGGUGAUAGCUGGUUGCCUAAGAAAUGAAUAUUAGUUCAGCCUCGUACUCCCCCACCCAGACAAACACUUCUGUCUUAUGGCACAGAGAAAUCUACGAGAGUUAGUCAAACGGGGUACAGCCCGUCUGACCCAGGAUACAACCUGAACCAGGAGGUUAAAAGUCACACUUAACAAGAUAUGCCGCUUUAGUGGGCCUAAAAGCAGCCACCUAUUCAGAAAGCGUUAAAGCUCAGGCAGAACAAAAAUCUAUUAUUCUGAUACUCAACUCCAAACCCCUACUAUUAUUAGGCCAUUCUAUACCCCUAUAGAAGAGAUACUGCUAAAAUGAGUAACAAGAAGGGAAACCCCUUCUCCAUGCCCACCCAUAUAUUAGAUCGGACCCACCACUAAUAAUUAACGAACCCAACCCAAAGAGGGAAAAGUGAUCAAAUACUAAAACCAAGAAAAUCUCACAUUAACCAAUCGUUAACCCCACACUGGAGGGCUUCAAGGAAAGAUUAAAAGAAAGGGAAGGAACUCGGCAAAUACAAGCCUCGCCUGUUUACCAAAAACAUCGCCUCCUGCAAAAAUCAACGUAUAGGAGGUCUUGCCUGCCCAGUGACUAAGUUAAACGGCCGCGGUAUUUUGACCGUGCAAAGGUAGCGCAAUCACUUGUUUUUUAAAUGAAGACCUGUAUGAAUGGUGAAACGAGGGCUUAACUGUCUCCCCUUUCUGAUCAGUGAAAUUGAUCUACCCGUGCAGAAGCGGGUAUAAAUGUACAAGACGAGAAGACCCUAUGGAGCUUAAGACACAAAGUUAACUGCGUUAAUAAACCCUUAUUAAAGGAAAAAACAAAACAGUAACUAAUUUAACGUCUUCGGUUGGGGCGACCGCGGGGGAAAAAAAAUCCCCCACGUGGAACUAGAUAUUUUUCUAAACCACGAGGCACACCUCUAAGUCACAGAAUUUCUGACCAAAAGAUCCGGCAUUCAGCCGAUCAACGGACCAAGUUACCCUAGGGAUAACAGCGCAAUCCCCUCCAAGAGUCCAUAUCGACAAGGGGGUUUACGACCUCGAUGUUGGAUCAGGACAUCCUAAUGGUGCAGCCGCUAUUAAGGGUUCGUUUGUUCAACGAUUAAAGUCCUACGUGAUCUGAGUUCAGACCGAAGCAAUUCAGGUCAGUUUCUAUCUGUAAAGUUACCUCUCCUAGUACGAAAGGACCGGAAACGUAAGGCCUAUAUUUCAGACACGCCUUACUUCUACUUAAUGAAAACAACUUAAUUAAAUAAAGAAGAACACAAAAUACCCAAAGAUAUUUGGGG